AUUGAACGCUAGCGGGAUGCCUUACACAUGCAAGUCGAACGGAGUGGUGAACGGGUGAGUAAUGUAUCGGAACGUGCCCAGUAGCGGGGGAUAACUACGCGAAAGCGUAGCUAAUACCGCAUACUAUUGGAGCGGCAGAUAUCGGCUGAGCGAGUUGGUGGGGUAACGGCUCACCAAGGCGACGACGCGUAGCUGGUUUGAGAGGACGACCAGCCACAGUGGGGAUGAGACACUGCCCAGACUCCUACGGGAGGCAGCAGUGGGGAAUGUUGGGCAAUGGGGGAAAACCUGAUCCAGCCAUCCCGCGUGUGCGAGGAAGGCCUUCGGGUUGUAAAGCACUUUUGGCAGGAAAGCGGUACCUGCAGAAUAAGCACCGGAUAACUACGUGCCAGCCGCCGCGGUAAUAC
rnacentral:rRNA from 1 species